ensembl:lncRNA
CACUGAGGCUCAGAACCCAGUAACUGAGAAGUUUCCUCCAGACGCCUUGUCUUCUAGAAGCACCUAUUCAUUCUUAAUGCUCUGGACUUUUAGUGGGGAACAGCUCUAAGGAGAAGAUUGCAACUCCCAGUGGUUGGCCAGAGGAAAGAGCCAGCUUCUCAAACACAAGAAAUGAAUAAGAAAAACAAAGACAGCCUGGCAGAAAGUGGUUGUGUACGAUGUAUCAAGAUGGACCUUGGGAAACGUGGAAGGGGUACCCUCAGGAUGCCUGAGAAAAGUCUUCAAGAUGACACAUCGCAAGCCUCGUGCUGGAAAUUCGCAGUGAGAACCAGAUACAAACCUCCAUGGAUACAACAGCAGUUUACGUAUUAUCUUUGGCACGAACUUCUGCCUUCUUGUGAGCGUGAACGAAAAAAGGUGCAGACAAUCCAGCGUUUCUGUUAGGGUUCACUGAUUGGAAAGUUGGCAAUGUUAAAAUGUGUAUUUAUCAAAAUCAUGGAUUCCUUGAGGCUGGACGUAAUUUUUCCUCUCCUCUUUCUUCUGCUAAACGAGGGAGAAGGUGGGACGAGAAGGCAGAGCAAAGCAAGAGAAGCACGCACAUUUUCUUAAAUCCAGAGAUGGAAAUGGAGCCCUUCUUACUGAGCCUUCUCCAGAUGAAUGCGACCAGACAUUCCUGGAGGCAUUGCCCUGGCUUUCUUCCCUGAGUCCCUCGGCUGAACUUCUAACUCACUCCAAGGGUGUGUUGGGUCCUACCUACUUUCUUGAAAGGGGCUUGUUUUGAACGCAUAUAGCUUUCAGCCCUGCAAUUCUAUUCCUAGGAACUUACCCUAUAGUUUUAUUAGCACACAUGGAGAAUUAUAUAUAUUAUAUAUACAGUAAGACUCCUAGAGGGUGUGGAGAAAAGGGAACUCUCCUACACUGUUGGUGGGAAUGCAAACUAGUACAACCACUAUGGAAAACAGUGUGGAGAUUCCUUUAAAAAUUGCAAAUAGAACUGCCUUAUGACCCAGCAAUCCCACUGCUGGGCAUACAUACCGAGGAAACCAGAAUUGAAAGAGACACGUGUACCCCAAUGUUCAUCGCAGCACUGUUUAUAAUAGCCAGGACAUGGAAACAACCUAGAUGUCCAUCAGCAGAUGAAUGGAUAAGAAAGCUGUGAUAUAUAUACACAAUGGAGUAUUACUCAGCCAUUAAAAAGAAUAUAUUUGAAUCAGUUCUGAUGAGAUGGAUGAAACUGGAGCCGAUUAUACAGAGUGAAGUAAGCCAGAAAGAAAAACACCAAUACAGUAUACUAACACAUAUAUAUGGAAUUUAGAAAGAUGGCAAUGAUGACCCUGUAUGCAAGACAGCAAAAAAGACACAGAUGUGUAUAGCGGACUUUUGGACUCUUGAGGGAGAGGGAGAGGGUGGGAUGAUUUGGGAGAAUGGCAUUGAAACAUGUAUACUAUCAUGUAAGAAUCGAAUCACCAGUCUAUGUCUGAUGCAGGAUACAGUAUGCUUGGGGCUGGUGCACCGGGAUGAC